rnacentral:misc_RNA from 1 species
AGGUCCACAAAUGGCCCUACUCAUCACCAUCCUUCCGAUACUUGUCUUGGCUCUGAAUUUUCCAAAAGCCAAUGACUUUCUUCUCUGCCCUUUUUCAUUUUGGAGUUUGGACUCUCUCGUCUUUGGGUUGUUGAAAAGGAUGCCAAGAGAGAAAGACUUGCAUCACACGCACAGCAAAGUCUUGUUUGAAAGAAAUAAUACCACAUGGAUGUUUCCUGGCUCAUUCUUUUUUUUCUCAAAUCAACUCAACCCAUCCUCUACGUUUUCAGUGUAUUAAUAGUCCCUUCUUCCUCAUUUUAUCUUUGCCAAACAUUCAAGGUGACUCCAUUCCAUCAUCUCUUCUUUUAUCGGUGGAUCACUGAGACUAGUGAGCUUCUGGGUGAGUGUUUGUUGCAUUAAUUCUUCGUCUUGCUCCUAUUGUAUAUGGUUCUGGGUCCAUUUCUUCUUCCAAUAACGCAGUGAGAAACUUUUAUUUGUGUUCGUGGCAUGGCAUUGAGUGACAUAAAUUUCGUGGUUCUUGCCUACGCUUUGAUCUGCAUAGCCUUGGUGUUGCUGAGCAGCAGAUCAAUAACAGUGAGUAAUGCCACUAAGACUGAUAUAGAGUGCCUGAAAUCCAUAAAACAGUCCCUUCAAGACCCCAAUAACUACUUGAUCUCCUGGAAUUUCAACAACAACACCGAAGGCUUCAUAUGUAGAUUUACUGGGAUCGAUUGUUGGCACCCUGAUGAGAACAAAGUUCUAAAUAUUCGCCUUUCAGAUAUGGGCCUCAAGGGCAACUUCCCUCGUGGAAUUCAGAAAUGCACCAGCUUGACCGGCUUGGAUUUUUCCAGCAACAGGCUUUCUGGCUCCAUCCCUUCUGAUAUAUCCAAGUUAGUGCCAUAUGUUACAUCUCUUGAUAUCUCAUCCAACAAUUUUUCGGGUGAAAUUCCAAUUAAUCUUGCCAACUGCAGUUUCUUGAACAUACUUAAACUCGACAACAACCGACUAACAGGCAGUAUUCCGCUGCAACUUGGCCAGCUGCCUCGAAUGAAGACAUUUAGCGUUGCUAAUAAUCUUCUAUCAGGGCAGGUCCCUACGUUUUCCAACAAGAAUACCAUAGUUAGCUAUGCAAAUAAUCUGGGACUCUGUGGAGAACCAUUAUCGAGAUCCUGCCCCGGUGUUCCAAGAAAAUCCAGUGUCGGAAUAAUUGCUGCUGCAGCCGCUGGUGGUAUAACAUUUACAGCUAUUAUUGUGGGUAUUCUUCUCUACUACUUCUCUCGUGGAGCGGCUAAGAAGAAGGAAGAUGACCCUGAAGGUAACAAGUGGGCCAAGAGCAUAAAAGGAACUAAAGGCAUCAAGGUUUCCAUGUUCGAGGAGUCCAUUUCGAAGAUGAGGUUGAGUGAUCUCAUGAAGGCAACUAACAACUUUAGCAAAGUCAAUAUCAUUGGAGAAGGAAGAACCGGAACCAUGUACAAAGCAAUGAUUCCAGAUGGUAUUUCCCUCAUGGUUAAGAGGCUGCAAGACUCUCAACACUUGGAAAAAGAAUUUGUGUCAGAGAUGAAUACACUUGGGAGUGUCAGACACCGCAAUUUGAUUCCCCUGUUGGGUUUUUGCAUGGCUAAGAAGGAGAAACUUUUGGUCUACAAAUACAUGGAGAACGGAACACUCUAUGACAAACUGCAUCCAGUGGAACCAGAGGUCAGAAACAUGGAUUGGCCCCUAAGGCUCAAAAUUGCGAUUGGAGCAGCUAAAGGUUUAGCAUGGCUUCAUCAUAACUGCAACCCUCGAAUUAUUCACAGAAACAUAAGCUCCAAAUGCAUACUGCUGGAUGAGAAUUUUGAGCCAAAGCUGUCUGAUUUCGGCCUUGCAAGGCUGAUGAAUCCAGUUGACACCCAUUUGAGUACCUUCGUGAAUGGGGAGUUUGGGGACUUGGGCUAUGUAGCUCCCGAGUAUCCACGGACCCUGGUAGCCACCCUGAAGGGGGAUGUUUAUAGCUUUGGGGUAGUUCUUCUGGAGUUGGUCACGGGUGAAAAACCCACUCAUGUUGCCAAUGCCCCUGAAACCUUCAAGGGAAGUUUAGCAGAGUGGAUCACGCAGCUUUCAAGUAAUUCUCUCCUUCAUACUGCCAUCGAUAAGUCUUUGCUCGGGAAUGAUUUUGAUAGCGAACUCAAACAGUUUCUUAGAGUUGCUUGUAACUGUGUGGUUCCAACUGCAAAGGAGAGGCCUACCAUGUUUGAGGUGUACCAGCUUCUGAGAGCUGUUGGGGAAAGAUAUCACUUCACAACAGAGGAUGAAAUGAUGUUGCCAUCCGAAACUGGUGAUGCUGAUUCUCCUGAUGAACUUAUUGUUGCUCAAUAUGUGAAGGAGGCUCAAUGAAAGGCAGGCAGAGUAUGAUGCUAAUAUAAAACGGCAAUUGAAGAUAUUUAACUUCUUGGUGCCGCAGUGUAGCAUCUAGGAUUGUAUGUAAUAUACUCAAUAGUAUUUUAAGCUCCUAUGUUCACUUUUCUAUUGAUAGAAACACCAAUUGUAUAUAUACUACUAGACCUUUUAUGCCAAAAUCAAAAUGCUGCUGCUUCGUUCUUAACUGUGCAAUUGCCUUUUCUGCGUUCCACAUUAUUAGUCUCUUCCAUGAGAAAUUCAAGCCACAGUACCAUAUACACACUUGCACAGUAUAGUACCCUGACAAAGAAAAGAGGUAACUAAUCUUAAAUUGUUGACAGAAACCUACUUCCUGUCUCACUAGUACAAGAUCAAUGAUAGAUCUCUCUUUCAUUUUUUUUCCCCUCAAGGUACAUUAAGAGCAUGUCCACUUUGCUCAGCUAAAACACAAUCUCUAUGUGAAUCUUUGACAUAUAUAUCAGAUUCUAGAUGCAUAACACAAACGUGGAAAACUUCGACAUUGCUUCUUUCCCUUCCCCAUCUGAGGAAAAGGAAAGCAGAAAAAGAAACUGACUUAGAGAAAGGAUAAAGAACACUACUUGAGCUACUCAUUGAAAAGAAGCCACUAAGGAUCUCAAAUAUCAUAAUGGAAGAGGAUAUCCUCGGAGGUAUGCUGAAUCCACACCUGAUUCCCGCACCAAAGCUACCCUUCCAGUCCGAGCCACCUCACAAAUCCCAAAUGGCUCCAACAGUCUCUGCAGGGCAGCCAUCUUGUUUAAAUCACCUGUUAGUUCAAGGGUAAUAGUGUGAUCAGAGACAUCAACAGCUUUGGCCCGAAAUAUGCUAGCAAUAUCAAGGACAUCCCUCCUAGCAGCAGUGUUCACAGCUAUCUUUAUCAGCAUCAACUCUCGUUCUGCAAAUGGCAUGUGUGUAAUAUCGCGCACCUCAUGCAUAUCGAUCAACUUGUGAAGAUGGAGAACCAACUUGCCAAUUGACUCAUCAGUUCCAGGAAUAACAGUGGUAAUGCGGGAAAGUCCUUCUCUCUCAGCCGGACCCACAGCAAGACUCUGAGAAGUUGAAAUGUGAAAAGAAAUAACAAUGAUAAAAAUAAGUCAUAGUUAGUUGGAAAGGAGAGAUGAAAACAAAGUACACUGACCUGAAUGUUAUAACCUCUUCGUGAUAUGACACCAGUAACCAUGUUGAGAACGCCAGGAGAGUCAUUCACAAGCAUAGAUAAUGUGUGUGACCGAAGUCCACUUGAAUCAUCAUCAUAGAGAACACCCCAAUGAGCAUCAAG